rnacentral:rRNA from 1 species
CCUACGGGAGGCAGCAGUGGGGAAUAUUGGACAAUGGGGGGAACCCUGAUCCAGCCAUGCCGCGUGUGUGAAGAAGGCCCUCGGGUUGUAAAGCACUUUCAGUGAGGAAGAACGCCUGGUGGUUAAUACCCAUCAGGAAAGACAUCACUCACAGAAGAAGCACCGGCUAACUCCGUGCCAGCAGCCGCGGUAAUACGGAGGGUGCGAGCGUUAAUCGGAAUCACUGGGCGUAAAGCGCGCGUAGGUGGCUUGAUAAGCCGGUUGUGAAAGCCCCGGGCUCAACCUGGGAACGGCAUCCGGAACUGUCAAGCUAGAGUGCAGGAGAGGAAGGUAGAAUUCCCGGUGUAGCGGUGAAAUGCGUAGAGAUCGGGAGGAAUACCAGUGGCGAAGGCGGCCUUCUGGACUGACACUGACACUGAGGUGCGAAAGCGUGGGUAGCGAACAGGAUUAGAUACCCUAGUAGUC